GUGGUGAUGAAUGAGGCCUGGCCUGUGGCAAACAGAGAAAAGAUCUCAUCCUUCACCUAGGCCGGAGUGCAGUGGUGCAAUUAUGGCUUCCUAUAGCCUCAAACUAAAGGCCUAAGUGAUCCUCCUACCUCAGCCUCCUGCGUAGCCGAGAUUACAGAAAAUCAGAUGAACAUCUGCUUCUGGCCACCAUGAUGUAACAAGUACCAGAUUGACCGCUGAGACUUAAAACACUAAAAAACU
rnacentral:lncRNA from 1 species